rfam:Pteropus alecto contig35928, whole genome shotgun sequence.
UGGAAAGUUCACUGUUCGACACCAUGGAUCUCCAGGUGGGUCACGUUUUGAGAUACACCAACCUGGAGGACUCCAUGCUGUUGAGCUGUUCACAA